rnacentral:rRNA from 1 species
UACGUAGGUGGCGAGCGUUGUCCGGAUUUAUUGGGCUUAAAGGGUGCGUAGGCGGCUUUGUAAGUCAGUGGUGAAAUACUCUAGCUUAACUAGAGGGGUGCCAUUGAUACUGCGGAGCUUGAGUACAGAUGAGGUAGGCGGAAUUGACGGUGUAGCGGUGAAAUGCAUAGAUAUCGUCAAGAACACCGAUAGCGAAGGCAGCUUACUGGGCUGUAACUGACGCUGAGGCACGAAAGUGUGGGGAUCAAACAGG